rnacentral:rRNA from 1 species
GGGUAUAGACCCGAAACCCGGUGAUCUAGCCAUGGGCAGGUUGAAGGUUGGGUAACACUAACUGGAGGACCGAACCGACUAAUGUUGAAAAAUUAGCGGAUGACUUGUGGCUGGGGGUGAAAGGCCAAUCAAACCGGGAGAUAGCUGGUUCUCCCCGAAAGCUAUUUAGGUAGCGCCUCGUGAAUUCAUCUCCGGGGGUAGAGCACUGUUUCGGCAAGGGGGUCAUCCCGACUUACCAACCCGAUGCAAACUGCGAAUACCGGAGAAUGUUAUCACGGGAGACACACGGCGGGUGCUAACGUCCGUCGUGAAGAGGGAAACAACCCAGACCGCCAGCUAAGGUCCCAAAGUCAUGGUUAAGUGGGAAACGAUGUGGGAAGGCCCAGACAGCCAGGAUGUUGGCUUAGAAGCAGCCAUCAUUUAAAGAAAGCGUAAUAGCUCACUGGUCGAGUCGGCCUGCGCGGAAGAUGUAACGGGGCUAAACCAUGCACCGAAGCUGCGGCAGCGACGCUGAUGCGUUGUUGGGUAGGGGAGCGUUCUGUAAGCCUGUGAAGGUGUGCUGUGAGGCAUGCUGGAGGUAUCAGAAGUGCGAAUGCUGACAUAAGUAACGAUAAAGCGGGUGAAAAGCCCGCUCGCCGGAAGACCAAGGGUUCCUGUCCAACGUUAAUCGGGGCAGGGUGAGUCGACCCCUAAGGCGAGGCCGAAAGGCGUAGUCGAUGGGAAACAGGUUAAUAUUCCUGUACUUGGUGUUACUGCGAAGGGGGGACGGAGAAGGCUAUGUUGGCCGGGCGACGGUUGUCCCGGUUUAAGCGUGUAGGCUGGUUUUCCAGGCAAAUCCGGAAAAUCAAGGCUGAGGCGUGAUGACGAGGCACUACGGUGCUGAAGCAACAAAUGCCCUGCUUCCAGGAAAAGCCUCUAAGCAUCAGGUAACAUCAAAUCGUACCCCAAACCGACACAGGUGGUCAGGUAGAGAAUACCAAGGCGCUUGAGAGAACUCGGGUGAAGGAACUAGGCAAAAUGGUGCCGUAACUUCGGGAGAAGG